ACAGGCUUAGAGUAUGUGAUCAGUGAUGCUACUGAGAUUGUCCCGACAAGAUUAUAUAUGCUGACGUAUAAUAUCGAUGCAAACGUAUAACAAGGUUAUAUCGAUGCUAACGUAUAAUAUUGUGGAUGGUACAAUAUACCAGGCUCCACAGCUUUGUAGUGUCUUUGCAGCUCGAGUUGUAUGCUUCUUCAUCCUUUCUAUUUAUGUUCAUGUGUUGCUUGGAGGGCAUAGACUAAGCGAAGGUUUUUUUUUUAGUUGCUGCUAAAGUAUUUUUUGUUUUCUUCUCUUUCUCCUUUAAGGUCGGACUGUUAUUAAUAUUUAGAUGGUUUCUCUGCAGCUGCAUUAAAGUUGGGGACGAUUAGGCAGGGUAAGAUUUUGUUUUCUUUAAUAAGUUGGUUCUGUCUCAGUUUCAUGUGAUUAAAUAUUUUCUGCUACUAAGAGUUAGUUUCAAAGUUUGUUGCAAGCUCGACUAGCUAUGUCCACAAGACCGGACUGAGAAUUAUAUGUUUUUUGUAUCAACUGCAUGUAGAUGCAAAUGUAAAAUAACUUUUCAUUAACUUAGGAAGCUCAUAUCUGAACAGAUUUAAUUUAUCAAGUACUUUAGAAUCUGUUGUUCUUUGUUGUCCAUCUUUGGUAUGCUGCAAGCUUCUGUGAUAUGAUCUAUGGUUUUCAGUUGAUUGCUAAAAACCAGAAAAAGCCUUCUGAGACAAAGCCCCCAAUGAUUCAUCAAAGAUGAUGUUUUCGUAGAAAUCAGGAGCAACCCACCUUAUAUAAGAAAAAAAAAAGAAUUGAACAGUAUCUAUGUCGAAGAAGUCAAGAGUUCUUUGAGCAACGCGUUUCUUCAGGCCGAUAUUUCUUUAGCAGAGGACCGCAACAGAGGCUCUUUUCUCAGGCUUUUCUUCCGGUACCUCGGCUCUUGCUGCCCUUAUUUUUGGAAGACACUUAAUGGUUGCAAAUGCAGCAGAUGGCAGAGCCGUUCUCUGUAGGAAUGGUGAAGCCAUAGACAUGUAUCGAGACCACAAACCAAUCUACUUACCGUAAAGAAGAAAGUCUAAGGAAGUGGCGGCUUCAACGAUGUCAGUUACUUAAAUGGCAUAGUGAUUGGGACAUGUAACUACCACGAGGGUCACGAUCUCCACUCUUAGCAGAGCCAGGAGAUCAAAAAGAUACAUUUAACAGAGGAAGAGAAGUUUCUAAUAAUGAGAUGCGACGAGAUUUGGGACGUUUUGACAAUUCAAAAGGUUUUUGUAUCGUUAGGUGUGAAUUACGUCGAUCAUGAUGACCCGAUAACGCUUGCUUUGAGGUCUUUAAGGCUAAAAAAGUUAGAUAACCUAACAGUGGUUGUUUGAUUCUUGUCGGCUGAUGACAUAAGAGCAAUAGUCGCUCCUCCGGUGGAGGAUCAACGGUGUUGUAUUUUUCUCAGAGAUUGAGGGCCUUAUUUGAUGGUUGAAUGAAAAGAUAAUGACAUUCCCUUUUGUGUUCUUGGCUGAGCUUUUUCUUGCUUUUGUAUAUUUGGGGUCUGUAUCUAACUUCGAGUGUCUACGUGCCCAAGUUUUGUG